UGGCACAGUGGUUAAAGUGUUUGGCUGCCAACUAAAAGGUUGGUGGUUCGAGCCCACC
rnacentral:tRNA from 1 species